rnacentral:rRNA from 1 species
AGAAUUUAGCAGAGAUGCUUUAGUGCCUUCGGGAACUCUGAGACAGGUGCUGCAUGGCUGUCGUCAGCUCGUGUUGUGAAAUGUUGGUUAAGUCCCGCAACGAGCGCAACCCUUAUCCUUUGUUGCCAGCACGUAAUGGUGGGAACUCAAAGGAGACUGCCGGUGAUAAACCGGAGGAAGGUGGGGAUGACGUCAAGUCAUCAUGGCCCUUACGAGUAGGGCUACACACGUGCUACAAUGGCGCAUACAAAGAGAAGCGACCUCGCGAGAGCAAGCGGACCUCAUAAAGUGCGUCGUAGUCCGGAUUGGAGUCUGCAACUCGACUCCAUGAAGUCGGAAUCGCUAGUAAUCGUAAAUCAGAAUGUUACGGUGAAUACGUUCCCGGGCCUUGCACACACCGCCCGUCACACCAUGGGAGUGGGUUGCAAAAGAAGUAGAUAGCUUAACCUUCGGGAGGGCGUUUACCACUUUGUGAUUCAUGACUGGGGUGAAGUCGUAACAAGGUAAGCGUAGUGCU